rnacentral:rRNA from 1 species
GACGAACGCUGGCGGCGUGCUUAACACAUGCAAGUCGAACGAAGCUUGAUUACGGAUUCUUCGGAUGAAGUAUGAUAUGACUGAGUGGCGGACGGGUGAGUAACGCGUGAGUAACCUGCCCUUCAGAGGGGGAUAGCGUUUGGAAACGAACGGUAAUACCGCAUAAUGUAUUUUGACCGCAUGAUCGAAAUACCAAAGAUUUAUCGCUGAAGGACGGACUCGCGUCUGAUUAGGUAGUUGGUGGGGUAACGGCCUACCAAGCCGACGAUCAGUAGCCGGACUGAGAGGUUGAUCGGCCACAUUGGGACUGAGACACGGCCCAGACUCCUACGGGAGGCAGCAGUGGGGAAUAUUGCACAAUGGGCGCAAGCCUGAUGCAGCAACGCCGCGUGAAGGAAGACGGUUUUCGGAUUGUAAACUUCUGUUCUUAGUGAAGAAUAAUGACGGUAGCUAAGGAGCAAGCCACGGCUAACUACGUG